AAGCGGCCACUGUGAUUUGCUUGUGAUAACUGCACCGGAGCGCAGGUAGCUGCACUUUACACUGAUCUUCGCUAGACCACGGUGGAAGGAGUAAUACGUUGUUUAAAUUUCUUGAGACUGUUUUUCGCCAAUAAACAUCCUUUCAACUAUUCGUGAUCUCAUGGCGGUUGUGGCACAUCUUUCUUUAAACUUUCGGUAGAGACUGUCCACUGACAUCAGCACAAGAACAAAGAUCCUUGCAGCCCCACUAUUACACUCACCAUAGUGAUUUGUUCACUGACCCUAUGGCCACAAUUUUCCAAUCCCUGAUGCCAGAGGAAUCUUCCGACCCUGCCGAAUGAAGAAUUCAGUGGUUCGCUAGCCCCUCCAUGGGGAACCCACCGUGGGAAUGCUGGAAGAUGCCGGCCUAUGUUAAGCAAUCGACACACAGCAUGCACUAUAUCAGCUGGGUCU